rnacentral:rRNA from 1 species
GGCGCCAGGAGCCGAUGAAGGACGUGGUAAGCUGCGAUAAAGCUUCGGGGGAGGUGCAAAGCAACCUUCGAUCCGAAGAUUUCCGAAUGAGGAAACUCAUACAGGGUAAUGCCUGUAUAUCUCUGCAAUGAAUACAUAGUGCAGUGAGGGGAACCCCGGAGAACUGAAACAUCUAAGUACCCGGAGGAAAAGAAAGAAAACUCGAUUCCCUAAGUAGCGGCGAGCGAAAGGGGGAACAGCCUAAAACCUGAAUCGGUUUUCCGGUCAGGGGUUUUGGACACCAUCAUGGAAUAGAGGUAUCAUAGUAGAAGAGCUUUGGAAAGAGCCGCCGCAGAGGGUAACAGCCCCGUAAACGAAAUGAGAAGACUUCCAGGUGUAUCCAGAGUACCACGAGACACGUUGAAAACCUUGUGGGAAGAUAGGGGGACCACCCCCUAAGGCUAAAUACUACCUGGCGACCGAUAGAGAAUAGUACCGUGAGGGAAAGGUGAAAAGAACCCC